rnacentral:rRNA from 1 species
GACGAACGCUGGCGGCGUGCUUAACACAUGCAAGUCGAACGGAAAGGCCCCUUUGGGGGUACUCGAGUGGCGAACGGGUGAGUAACACGUGAGUAACCUGCCCUUGACUUCGGGAUAACUUCAGGAAACUGGGGCUAAUACCGGAUAGGAAUCAUUGCUGCAUGGGGGGGGUUGGAAAGCUUCGGCGGUUUUGGGUGGACUGGCGGCUUAUCAGCUUGUUGGUGGGGUAGUGGCUUACCAAGGCUUUGACGGGUAGCCGGCCUGUGGGGGUGAGCGGCCACCUUGGGACUGAGAGACGGCCCAGACUCCUACUGGUGGCAGCAGUGGGGAAUAUUGCACAAUGGGCGGCAGGCUGAUGCAGCAACGCCGCGUGCGGGAUGACGGCCUUCUGGUUGUAAACCGCUUUCAGCAGGGGCGAAGCUUGUGGUGACGGUACCUGCAGAAGAAGCACCGGCUAACUACGUG